GUGAUUCUAAUUCUUGAUACUGAAUCGAUCUAAAUGGGUUGUUCAGCCACCCAGAAGGGCAUGCCAUUUGGUCUGUUCUCCUCACGGCAAUCUCGUUUGCAGAAUGCCCUUUUGGAGGGAUGGCUUGUUUGAAAGCCAAAAUCUCCUCGCACCCAGAAAGCUAAGGUGUCAAGAAAAUACUGCCCCUGGCAGUUCAUUAAGCGGCCAUUAAAUGUACAAGAACUGGGAAAAGAAGUUGACCCUCUAGUAGAAAUGAUAUAAGCUAUUCUUUUCGGAGGAUAACCUUCGGCACCAUGGAAGGAUUCUGUUCUCCCUCUCAGACAUUUUACAUUAGACGACUGAUUUGAUUGGAUUUGCUUUCAUUUCAAACAUGGAAGAGGAGAACUAGCUGGGCAAGAAGCCAGAGGUUUUUUCUCUUGCCAAAUUUUAUUUGCAACGUAGGGUUAAUGAAUGACAGGGGAAAGGUGGUCACCCUGUCCUGCUUUUGGUCACCCCAUAAAUUGAUCUUUUUAUGUUCCGACCGGCAUUUCCAAUAUUGUCGUCUUCCAGUGACUUGAGCCGUCUUCGCCAUGAAGUUCUGCGUCGUUUUUCUGGCUUUGGCCAUCUUGACAGGUUCCAAGGCUGCUUCUCUUAACGACGAGCCCGCCCCGCCAUGUCUGGAGCAGAUCCACAGCACCAUCCAGGAGUAUCUCGACAAGGCUACCAAAAUGACCGCAGAAAACUUGGAGGCAAUCCGUAAUUCAGAGUUCGGCAAGGAGCUCAAGUAAGCGGGCCAAAGGGAGUUGGCAAAGGCUGGGCCAAACGGCCAACGGUCCGUCCUCACCACUGCUCCAUCGCUCCCCUCCUCUCCUGCCCCCCAAUUACAGGUUGUCCUGACCCAGCACAAGGUCAGCAUCCCGUGGAUGUUGACUUUGAUAACAGAAGCACCGCAAAGCCUUAGGGAGGGAUACGGUGCCCUCAGUCCUGUUUCAAGAGUUCCAGGAAAGCACAGAGAGAGAGGAAUGUGUGCCUUCUCAUUAUUACCCCAGCAUUGUCUAAAAAGAUGGUGUUUAUUAGAUAGACGGUUCAGGAUAUCCUGAAGAUCAACUUGGAGGGUUAGUCCACCUCUUAUUUGGCAACAGAGGGUAUGGGGGCAGGAUUUAAAGAAUACUGCCUAUGGUGUUUGCUCUCAUCAGUUUAGACCGUCUUAAGUACACGAGACAGUCCAAAGAGGAAUUUUCGAAGUGCAAAUCAAAUCAGAGU
rnacentral:lncRNA from 1 species